rnacentral:rRNA from 1 species
UAGCGUAGGGGGCAAGCGUUGUCCGGAAUUCAUUGGGCGUAAAGAGCGUGUAGGCGGCUCGGUAAGUCCGCUGUGAAAGUCCAGGGCUCAACCCUGGAAUGCCGGUGGAAACUGUCGAGCUAGAGUCCGGAAGAGGCGAGUGGAAUUCCUGGUGUAGCGGUGAAAUGCGCAGAUAUCAGGAGGAACACCAAUGGCGAAGGCAGCUCGCUGGGACGGUACUGACGCUGAGACGCGAAAGCGUGGGGAGCAAACAGG